UCCUGGCUGUACACUGAUGGCUGGCUCUUACUGGGGCUGCUGAAGUACUUGGCCAUCUGACUUGGGUUGUUCUGAUCCUCUUCAAACUGCCGCCACUGGGUCAGCUGCAGUGGACAUGCUGUCCUAUGAUCAGACCGAGGUUCUGCCAGAAAAAGGGCUCUCUGUCGGUUUUGCUUCUACAAAAAUGUCAGUAUCAUCACUGGAAACAGGCAGAUGUCAGAGGUGUUUCCAAGGCACAAAGAGCAUGCAGUUGGUUGCCAGAGUGCAGACGAGAAUGGCUCCAGCCACGGUGCUGUAGACGAGGUUGGGCCAGGCCUGCAUUAAGAUGGACACCGGGACGGCCACAGCAGAGGAAAGGGUGACCAGAGUCACCACUGUUAUGAUGGUGGGAGACUGGUUGACAGGAGGGUGGCUGACAUUGCUUGUAAGCCCAGCUAGGGUGAAGAGGAGGAAGCAGAAAGCCAGCAGGAUGCCACAAGAGAGCAGCGUCCACACCACAGCACUUAACACCGGAGAGAGAGACCGCCUCG